CGCAGCCGCGGUAAUUCCAGCUCCAAUAGCGUAUAUUAAAGUUGUUGCAGUUAAGCUCGUAGUUGAAUUUCGGGAUCAAUAUGCUGGUCGUGCCAUUGGUACGUACUAGUAUUAUUGGUUUCUUCCUUCUGAUGAAUCAUGAUGUCAUUAAGUUGAUGUCAUGGGGAAUCAGGACUGUUACUUUGAAAAAAUUAGAGUGUUUAAAGCAGGCUCGCGCUUGAAUACAUUAGCAUGGAAUAAUGAAAUAGGACGUUUGAUUCUAUUUUGUUGGUUUCUAGGAUUGACGUAAUGAUUAAUAGGGAUAGUUGGGGGCAUUAGUAUUCAAUUGUCAGAGGUGAAAUUCUUGGAUUUAUUGAAGACUAACUACUGCGAAAGCAUUGCCAAGGAUGUUUUCAUUAAUCAAGAACGAAAGUUAGGGGAUCGAAGACGAUCAGAUACCGUCGUAGUCUUAACCAUAAACUAUGCCGACUAGGGAUCGGAUGAUGUUAAUUUUUAAUGUA
rnacentral:rRNA from 1 species